AUGCAGGUCCAGGAACACCGGGCCGGAGCAGUGGUGGCAAAAGGCCCUGCGUGGUCACACGUGCCCACCACACCACCAGGCUGGCACACAGUUGCCGCCGGGAUCGACCACAUGACCUCAACACCACCAAACCAGAGCCAACACCAUAGCUCAGAGGCAGACGCCGCCGGGGAUGAAUCGACCCACCUACACGAGGCAGACACGCAGAGCCCCGGCCAGCAAGGCGCCGGCCCGCCCGAAAAGACUGUGCCUGCACCCUGGCCAGCAGCAGCAAUGCAGCAGAGGAGUUGGGCUGCGCCGCCAGGGGAUAGCAGGAAAGCUGCAGCAGGGCCAUAG
rnacentral:rRNA from 1 species